AGGGAAUCUUCCACAAUGGGCGAAAGCCUGAUGGAGCAACGCCGCGUGAGUGAAGAAGGAUUUCGGUUCGUAAAACUCUGUUGUAAGGGAAGAACAAGUACAGUAGUAACUGGCUGUACCUUGACGGUACCUUAUUAGAAAGCCACGGCUAACUACGUGCCAGCAGCCGCGGUAAUACGUAGGGAGCAAGCGUUGUCCGGAUUUACUGGGUGUAAAGGGUGCGUAGGCGGCUCUGCAAGUCAGGUGUGAAAACUAUGGGCUUAACUCAUAGAUUGCACUUGAAACUGUGGGGCUUGAGUGAAGUAGAGGCAGGCGGAAUUCCCGGUGUAGCGGUGAAAUGCGUAGAGAUCGGGAGGAACACCAGUGGCGAAGGCGGCCUGCUGGGCUUUAACUGACGCUGAGGCACGAAAGCAUGGGUAGCAAACA
rnacentral:rRNA from 1 species